AUUGAACGCUGGCGGCAUGCCUUACACAUGCAAGUCGAACGGCAGCACGGGAGCAAUCCUGGUGGCGAGUGGCGAACGGGUGAGUAAUGUAUCGGAACGUACCUUUCAGUGGGGGAUAACGUAGCGAAAGUUACGCUAAUACCGCAUAUUCUGUGAGCAGGAAAGCAGGGGAUCGCAAGACCUUGCGCUGAUUGAGCGGCCGAUAUCAGAUUAGCUAGUUGGUGAGGUAAAGGCUCACCAAGGCGACGAUCUGUAGCGGGUCUGAGAGGAUGAUCCGCCACACUGGAACUGAGACACGGUCCAGACUCCUACGGGAGGCAGCAGUGGGGAAUUUUGGACAAUGGGCGCAAGCCUGAUCCAGCCAUGCCGCGUGAGUG
rnacentral:rRNA from 1 species